GUGGGGAAUCUUAGACAAUGGGCGCAAGCCUGAUCUAGCCAUGCCGCGUGAGCGAUGAAGGCCUUAGGGUUGUAAAGCUCUUUCGUGGGGGAAGAUAAUGACUGUACCCCAAGAAGAAGCCCCGGCUAACUCCGUGCCAGCAGCCGCGGUAAUACGGAGGGGGCUAGCGUUGUUCGGAAUUACUGGGCGUAAAGCGCACGUAGGCGGACUGGAAAGUCAGGGGUGAAAUCCCGGGGCUCAACCCCGGAACUGCCUUUGAAACUCCCAGUCUUGAGUUCGAGAGAGGUGAGUGGAAUUCCGAGUGUAGAGGUGAAAUUCGUAGAUAUUCGGAGGAACACCAGUGGCGAAGGCGGCUCACUGGCUCGAUACUGACGCUGAGGUGCGAAAGCGUGGGGAGCAAACAGGAUUAGAAACCCUUGUAGUCC
rnacentral:rRNA from 1 species